GGGUCCCUGUGCUGCGCCUUCCCUGCUCCGGAGGCAGCGGGAUCCCGCCGGUGCCUUCCACAAGUCAUGGAUUCAAAAACCAGAGAAAGAAUCAUGCAAUAACCUCAUCGUAUCCAACACCCACUGGAACAAUCGGUUCUAGCACCAAAGGCUGCUGCCAUAAAGCUCGUAAGCAACAGGACAGAUGAAGAGAAUGGAAAAAAAAUUCACAAAAUGAACAGAAACCUGCAUAAACUGGGACUUUGCUGUCAGACAAACCAGGAGUUUGAGUACAGAUCCUGAAGAGAUCCGUGUUCGUCACGUAACAACAACCAGACCCCCUGGCUCGCCCAAAGGACAGAUGACAGACGGUGCUCUCUGCUCUGACAUGCAGAACACAGAAAAAUCCCAAGGGCCACUGACAGUCCCACUGGGGAUUUUCCUUGGCACACAAAGACACCUGGGCAGUUCCUGUCCCUGGCAGCACAGCCAUCCACAGUGAAGCUGGAGGAGAUGCAGCUCUGCAGCUCCUGAAGCAAAAGCAGCCACCUGUGAGUCAUCAAGUUUUUGCACAGCCCUACUCUUUGAAAGUGAGGACAGCAAAACUACAAAAGCACCUCAGUUAUUUAUCCUUCCACAGAUUUUUAUUUUUCUUUCUCCCUGUGAAAAAUUCUAAUCACUGUCAAAGAGAUUUGAAGCAGCAGAUUUAUUUUUCAUGCUCUGCCGCCUGAUGUCAGAUAACGUACACAAUACAGAAAAAUUUGUUCCAAAUAUUAGUUUACUGAUGCGUUUUUUUACCAUAAUUUUUCAUUCCUAAUGCCUGUAUUUAGGCUACAUCGAGCUUGCCACCUCCAUGUAUUCAAAGCAUUAUACGGAAUUCUUGAAAAUUUAGAUGGGAGACAAAACUCUCCAUUAACUGAGACUCACUUCCCACAACUUUUCUAUCACUGCAGUUCAGAAAAUGUUCAUCAUCCCGGAGACAGCACCAUGGGUUAGAUCCCUUCUUUGUGUUACCUGCUACAUUUUUGUCCUUGUGUGAUGUUUUAACUUCCUUUUGUCUAAAUAUACACCUGGCACCAGUGACCUUUGGCAACACUCCCUGAUUUCCAGGGCCACACAUCAUACACCGAAGUGCUACCAGAUAAUAAACAGAGCCCUGAGAAACACUACAAGAAGACAGAAACACUUAUCACCUCUUACACCUGAACAUCCCCUUAGAGUGCUAAUUCAGUGAGACUACUGGCAAAAAAAGUAAUCGAGCCUAAUUCUGGUAAUUUUUCCAUGGUUUGAUCCCACUAGCAGGAAGACUUUUCCACAGCCACAUUACAGAAGUGUGUGUACAGUGAUGAGCUGUACAGUGAAUUGCUCUGCAAAUCGUGGCCAACACCAGUGUGUAAGGAUUGGAGCUGUCAGGAGUUUUUGGCAGGAUAGAAUUGUGUGUUUGUCAUAUACAGUCACCUUCCACUGAAGUAGCAUAAAGAGCCAAUUCCUGUGUUUCUAAAGAAACAUCACCAUGCUGCUUUCUUCAUUCGAGAUCAACAGCCGUGACAUUAUGAAGCACAUCAUCCAGGUAUUAUGCAGAAUACUUUUUUUAAAAAGUGUAUUUUCUAUAUAAAGUUUGAAAUUAUAUACAUAGAAAGUGUGCAAACAGAAUGAACAAAUAUUACCUAAUUUCUCCUUUAUAGCUUUUAGUGUUUUAACUAUUACAUAUGAAAAACUCUGCUCUGGGAGAUCCAGAAUGAAUCCAUUUCUAAAGUUUCUGGUUUUAAUUGUGUAACUUUCCAACUAAAAGCAAAAACACAGUAAUGUUUUGCCAGCAAAGAUAUGCUGCUAAUGAAAUUGCAGAAUAUGGGCCCAAAGAGGUGAAGUUCGGCAAAUCAUUUCCAUAAAAGCACUUUUCACAUGUGCUUUGUUUGUCAAAGCUCAGCCUGUUUGCAAUGCCUCCAGGAGAUCAAGCUAAAUCUUUUUUCAGACUUUUGAAAUUAAACUUCAUUAAUGUAUUUCAGAACUGCUUUGGCAUGUGCAUGCCUCACCUACAGCCAUCACAAAUCACGAUGAGCUGAACUGCUCAAGCUGAAUUCCUCAAGCAUGACUUUUGCAGAAAGGUCUCUAUUACUUUGCUGGAUCUCAUGAAAAAACAGUGUGUCAAAGCUUAUCAGUGUUUUCCAACUAUAUUGACUGGCUUUAGAAGGCAUGAUGUCUCUCCCUAAAACUCUUCUCCAAAUUUGACUUUACAACCAUAUAAAAUUGCCCAGUUAGAAGGAAUUCUGAAGUAACAGCAGUUAAAGGGUUGGAUGUUUGGAAUGAAUAUUGUCAGACAUGAUUUUAACAGUAACCAGCAUAUUUUAAUCUUGCUUCCUAAAAAAUUAUCAAAACUAAGGUUAAUGCAAAGAGAUUAUAAGAAGAGUUAACCUGUCACACAACAGCACUCGGCAACUUGCAGCUGCCCACUUCAAGGUGCACACCAUACCAUGCAUGAAUCCAGGAGCAUGAAUCUUGAAACUGCAGCUAAAGAAACCUUCAAACACAAAAUAAACCUUCCAGCUCCAGGAAAAAGAAGAAUAAAGUUCAGCACAAAAUCUAGAAUCAGCCCACACGAGGAAAAUAAAUCAGUGUCUGUAACUGCUGUCAAAUUCUCACUCCACAGCAAACAACAGAUAGAACAAAUUAAGAAUGUAACUCGAGUUUCCACAAGGCUGGUGUGUUUACUCAUUCUGAUUACUGCAGGAGUUACUUGCUCUCAUUUCUUUCUGGACUUUGGAAACAGAUGAUAGGGAUCUGUUCUGCAAAACACUCUACUUGCCAAUAAAAAGAUGGGUACAAGUUCCACCCUGACUCCUGAAGGACAUGGUAGGUUGCUUUUGAGCUGACAGAUGGUUUCACAUUGCUGAAUUUCAGGCAAGUCAAAGGCAUCUUGGAGGAGAACUGAUUACUUCUUUUGAUCUCUGUUCUUAUAAUCAUCAAACACACUGGUUGCCUGGAGACUCCUAUAUAAAAUUCAUCAUUCGUAAAGAAACUAAGAAAUCGACAUUACUUGGUAUUUUUAAUCUCCCAUGGUACCUUCCAGAAAUUAUCCUAAUUCUUUUAGCUCACGCGGCAAAGGACCAUUCCAUUAAUUCAGUUAAUGCCUCACACCUUAAUGAGGGAAGUUAACUAUUCACCUGUUUAGUGGAGUGAGUUGACAAAGAAGGGAGAGAGGGAAGAGAUAAAAAGUCCCAUCUUUAAGUAAAAAUAACAAACUAGACUAGAUAAUAGAAUACUGCUCAUAAAUCAGAGAUACAGCUUUCCUUCAAUGUAAUCCUGGAAAGGAUUACAGAUGGGGCAGGUCAAGAACAAGCUCUGUAGCUCAAGACAGAAGUUCCAGACAAAUAACUAUUCCACUCUAAAGCACUUCAGAAAUUUCAUAACUUCAAAAGUUUCAUAAUAGUUAACAACGAAUAAAAGACUGUUUUCAAGGGGUAAGAUUUCUAAAAUAUUCUAUGCAAUUUGAAAUGUUUAAAUUCUGUUACAGUUUGUCUGGUUAAUGUUUUAGAGAUUACCUUAAGAAAGAAACAAAGAAGUCCCUACUCUCACCCACUUCACUGAUAUUUCCAGGUGAUAAACCUGACAAAGAAUACAUUAGUGGCCAUUAAUUCCCACUUGCCUAACAUUGGCAGAACAUCCUUUUUAAUUCACGACAUUGCAGUUAAGUUCUGAUAAGUGUUUUGGAUAGGCCAAGGCAGUAGAUAACAGGGGCUGCUGAUAAGAGAAUAAAGAGAUAAAAUAGUGGGAUUUUUAGAGUGGAGAGACUGGCAGUGACUCUCUAACAGCAUUCCUUGUAUCCAGAUAUUAUAAGUAAGGCCUGAAAGGAGCGUGGAUGCAUAAUUACAAAUUAACUCUGAAGGGAUAUGAAGGUAUAAGAAGAAAUGCUACAGACAUGAACUCACAUGAAGCUUCUUCUGGAUACAAGAUGCUCAUGUAAGACACGACCAGUCUCAGUAAGAUUUCAGGGGAAAUUCUUAUGUUUACAGGAUAUAGAACUCCCUAUUUUUUUCUCAAUCUAACAGUCGCUCAGAUCCCAACAGCUGAGAUGAAAAGGCUUUGGUCUUCCCUACGUACUCUUCCUACUUCUUUGCUCUUUAUGCUCGACAAGAUGCAAACAAAGCCUGGAUCAGAGACUGCGUAACAGUGUGAACAUGUACAAUUCGUGGCUGCAAAGGUCUCUCAGGAGAGAGGUACUCCUCCCUUGGCCUCCCAGGGCAGCCAGGCACAGAGCUGCUGUCCUUACAAGCUGAGCUGGACUUUUUUUUUUCCCUCCUGCGUCUGCAGUCAGUAAAUGAGCUGAUGCUCCACCUGCUGGAAAGAAUGAUGUGAGAGCUCCAGAAUUCAGCAAGUCCUUUCUGUGUGGAAAAGGCCAUCACUGAAAUCUCAAAACACCACCUCGUGUCAGCAGACAAAAAGGUAGCCAAGAUGUUGCUUGUUUAAGACCCUGUCCCAAGGGGUCUGUUCAGUGUGCAGAUCCUGUGGUGCCUUCGAAACCUUUUGUGUUGACUUUACAGAGUAAACAGCAACAGGACAAUUGUGAAUCUAUGGACAAACUGCUAUUGAGUAAUUAAAAUUGCAGGUUUAGAACUGAAGUGAGAACGAAAUUAUUUACUCAGAGGGUAGUAAGGCCAGAGGAGACCAUGGAAAUGCUCCAAGGGCUGGAGCUCCUCUGCUCUGGAGCCAGGCUGGGAGAGCUGGGAGUGUUCACCUGGAGAAGAG